GAUGAACGCUGGCGGCGUGCCUAAUACAUGCAAGUCGAGCGAACAGACGAGGAGCUUGCUCCUCUGACGUUAGCGGCGGACGGGUGAGUAACACGUGGAUAACCUACCUAUAAGACUGGGAUAACUUCGGGAAACCGGAGCUAAUACCGGAUAAUAUAUUGAACCGCAUGGUUCAAUAGUGAAAGACGGUUUUGCUGUCACUUAUAGAUGGAUCCGCGCCGCAUUAGCUAGUUGGUAAGGUAACGGCUUACCAAGGCAACGAUGCGUAGCCGACCUGAGAGGGGGAUCGGCCAACCUGGAACUGAGACACGGCCCAGACCCCUACGGGAGGCAGCAGUAGGGAAUCUUCCGCAAUGGGCGAAAGCUUGACGGAGCAACGCCGCGUGAGUGAUGAAGGUCUUCGGAUCGUAAAACUCUGUUAUUAGGGAAGAACAAAUGUGUAAGUAACUAUGCACGUCUGGACGGUACCUAAUCAGAAAGCCACGCCUAACUACGU
rnacentral:rRNA from 1 species